rnacentral:rRNA from 1 species
UACGUAGGGUGCAAGCGUUACUCGGAAUUACUGGGCGUAAAGCGCGCGUAGGUGGUUUUUUAAGUCCGUUGUGAAAGCCCUGGGCUCAACCUGGGAAUGGCAGUGGAUACUGGAAAGCUAGAGUGCGGUAGAGGGUAGUGGAAUUCCCGGUGUAGCAGUGAAAUGCGUAGAGAUCGGGAGGAACACCAGUGGCGAAGGCGGCUACCUGGACCAGCACUGACACUGAGGCACGAAAGCGUGGGGAGCAAACAGG